AAAGUCGUAACAAGGUUUCCGUAGGUGAACCUGCGGAAGGAUCAUUACAAAUCCAAAACAAUUACCCGUUAAAAUGUUCUCGGCCUUGGUAAUCAUAUGUGGAUGUGACGUGUGUGUGCACAUGUUGGAUUGUGGUGGAUAAUGAGGAUCAUCAUGAUUCUCGAUAUUCAUCUACAUCAAUAUAUCGCUGCUACGAAGCAUCCUAUGCAUAUUGUCAAGAUGACUACUAGUUGGUCGUCCCCUGACACCAAGGCACGAUUUAAUGACAAUUUACAUUUGGACAUUCAUGUAACCAUGUCACGAGAGUGACAAAACUAAAAACAACUUUUAACAAUGGAUCUCUAGGCUCUU
rnacentral:misc_RNA from 1 species